AAAAAACCAGCUUUUCAGGAGUGGUGGUACAUACCUACAAUCAGAAGUUUAAGCUUAGCCUGGACUACAUGAGAUCUUGUAUCACUGCUCCCCAACACAAACAAACAAAACAAAAACCCAGUCACUAAAUAGUAAAUCUCUAAACUAUACUGAAAACGAGUACUAACAAUUAAAGGUAUAAUAUUCCAUUUCAUACAAUAGUGACAACCAUCUGUCACUCUGUUUUUAGGGGAACCUGACUCCUCUCUUCUGAACUAUGAGGGUACCAGGCAUGCACAUGGUACACAUACAUACACACAGGCAAACACUCAUAAACACGUGGUUGCUAACAGCACAGGCUCUGAAUUAAGACUGUUCUUGUUUUUAAGACAGGCUCUUGAAAUGUAGCCCUGCUUAGACUAGAACUAGCUAUGUACAUUGGGUACCCCAAAACUUGCUAUUUAGCCCAGGCUGGCCUUGAACUCAAUGUGGUGAUCCUCCUGACUGCCUCUCAAGUGACAAAAUUACAGGUAUGGACCACUAUGUCCAGCAAAACCACCUAUGUUUGACUCUUGGUUCCACCACUCCUAGUUGAGUGAUAUAGAGGAAAUGACGACAGUCUUCUGUGCCUGCUUCCUCACCUAAGAAGUGGGAGUACCAAGAGAAGCUUCAUAUGGCUUUAUGCUAGGAUGAAAUAACAGUUGGCUAACUUUAGAAUGCUGUCUGGCACAUAAAAACACUCAACUAAGGAUAGCUAUUAUUAUCAAACUCAAGACCAAGAAAAAUGUACUUAGCAAUGAUAAAAAUCAAUUAAGUACACACUGAAUGCCAACACACCCACUGCUGAGCCUGGCACUAUCUAAAGAGAAAUGUAUAAUGCAUGGUCCUUCAUUCCCCAAAAGUAGUACUGCUCUAGUGACAAGGUCAAAAAGCUUGGCUUAAUUAAGGGACAUGGAAUGACUAUAAGUAGAUAUUAAACUGUGAGGGAAAAUUGGUUGUUACAUUUAAGGAAAGGGAACCAAAUGAGAGCUAACAUGUUUUUACAUAUUCACUAGGUAGGUAGCAGGUUCUAUUUGCCUUUUUGAGACAGGAUAUCACAUAGCCAGGCUGGUCUCCAACUUGCUAUGUAGCUGAGGCUGGCCUUGAACUCCUAACUCCUGCCUCCACCUCCCAAAGGUAAGGAUUACAGAUACCCACUUUGUAGCAGGCACUAUUUUAGCACUUCACAUAAGUUAUCUCAGUCCUCAAAGCCCUAUGAAAUAAAUAAGAUCACAGAUGAGGAAACGGAGCAGGAAAAGUAAAACAAAAAUCAGCAAAACACUUACGAAACUGGUUAGGAGCUGAGGGAAAAUCCAAACUUAGUUCACAAACAUUUACGUGCUCAGCUGUUUCCAAGUCUUUCUGUAAACAAAGCAGAGCCUGGCGUGGUAGUGCACCCCUUUAAUCCCCACUACUCCAGAGGCUGAGGCAAGUAGGUCUCUGUGAGUUCCAGACCAGCCUAGUCUCAUACCCAGUUCCGGGCCAGCCAGAGCUACAUACAAUGUCUCAGAAAACAAAAAAGUACCAGGCAAUGGCACUCACCUUUACUAUAACCCAGCACUCAGGAGGCAGAGGCCUGUGAAUCUGAGCUCAAGGCCAGCCUGCUCUACAGAUCGAGUACCAGGAAAGCUAGAGAUUAAUUGUUUUGAAAACCCAAACCAAAAUGAAACAAAACAAAAAAGCAUGUCAGAGUUGGGGCUAGUACCUCAUACCUAUAAUACUUGUUCUCAGGAAGCUGAAGCUGGAAGACUUCCGGGAGUUCAAGGAUAACAUGAGCUACAAAGUGAUAUGUUGUCUCAAAUGGGUUGAUUCGGCUGAUCUGGCUGCUGAGGAAUCACUGGCUCCCUCACUGCUCCAUGUGUGCAUCUUCCAAAGCUGCCUUCGUGCUUGGUCAUAGAGGAGGACAGUCUUCGGUCAAAGGAAGCACAGUGUAUUAAGUCACCCAAACACACGCAUUCGCCACUUCCCUUAAUUGAAAGUUGCUGAUGUCCCAGGACCCAACCGCUGAGCAGAAUGUGAACCUAAAAGCCCUUAACCAGCAAGCAACCCCUGAUCCAAACUGUGGAAAGCGAGGUGGGUGGAGAGACGGCGAUGACAGGGAAAAUUCGGCUGACCACUGCGUCAAGUCAAGACUGUUGCUCACAGUCCUGGAGAUGACACACACUCCCUCCCACCCUCGGGCUGUCAAGUAGGCUCUGUUGACCCAACACCGUGAAAUCACAAUGCCUGAGACAGGGGUGUGGACCUGAAGGGCCCGAGCCUGACCGACCCGCCGAAGGCAGCUCGCCGCGCCCGGAGUGGAGGCUCUCGACGGCCUCGGCUGUGGCCCUGGCUGCGACCCUGACCGGGCUCCGCGUCGUGGCGACCUCAGCCAGGCCUGUCCCUCGGGUCGCCCCCCGCGGCCCCCCGCUCCCAGCUGGGUCCCCUCGCUCACUGGC